GUAUGCCUACGGGGGGCAGCAGUGGGGAAUAUUGCACAAUGGGCGAAAGCCUGAUGCAGCAACGCCGCGUGAGCGAUGAAGGCCUUCGGGUCGUAAAGCUCUGUCCUCAAGGAAGAUAAUGACGGUACUUGAGGAGGAAGCCCCGGCUAACUACGUGCCAGCAGCCGCGGUAAUACGUAGGGGGCUAGCGUUAUCCGGAAUUACUGGGCGUAAAGGGUGCGGGGGUGGUUUCUUAAGUCAGAGGUGAAAGGCUACGGCUCAACCUUAGUAGGCCUUUGAAACUGGGGACCUUGAGUGCAGGAGAG
rnacentral:rRNA from 1 species